rnacentral:lncRNA from 1 species
UUUUUUUGGCCAUGCCUAGGUCAUGAGGAAGUUCCUGGGCCAAGGAUUGAACCCAUGCCACAGUAGUGACCUGGGCUGCUGCAGUGACAACCCUGGAUCCUUAACCAACUGAGCCACCAGGGAAUUCCAAAUGCUUGUUUUAAGCUGUGAAAUUUUGGAGGUAAUUUGCAAAAUAGCAGUAAAGCCAAUAAAGACAUCAGACAUUGAAUCAACAAGUAGGGGGAAAUGUGGAGUGUAUUUAGGAAAGGAUUGAACAUAGAUAAUACUGAACUAGACUGCUGAAAUUCCCAAAUCAGAAUAUUAUUAUCGGAGUUCCCGUUGUGGCUCAGUGGUUAACGAAUUCGACUAGGAACUCUGAGGUUGUGGGUUCGAUCCCUGGCCAUGCUCAGUGGGUUAAGGAUCUGGCGUUGCCUGUGAGAUGUGGCGUAGGUCACAAACGCGGCUCUGAUCCCACGUUGCUGUGGCUCUGGCGUAGGCCGCUGAGAUUAGAGUUCGACAUGAAUGUUUAGAGCAGGCAAAUAAUUUUUCUUCUUAUCGAUUAUUUGAAAACGAAAUUAUAUUUAUCUAUAUGUUUUCUCCUUUUGUAUUCUACCCAAAUUCUACCUCCAUUAUUCUUAAUGUGUGCCUAUAUUGUUUACCUGUUCUUCUAAUCCGUUGACAGUUUCAUAUGACACCUAGUGUAAAACUGGAAAUUCCCAGAUCAUCCUUGUUACUAUACCCAUCCCUUCCAAAACUAUCUUUGAACAAAUGACUGGCUUGGAAAGCUUUCCCCACACACAAUGAAGUUCCAGAAAUAAUUUGCAGGGGACCUAUGCAUAGAUGCUCCCUUUACACUGAUUUACUGCCAUCCCAAAAGCAGUACAAAGAAUCUGUAUUUAAAUAAAUGUUUCAGGAGAAAUAAGAUAAUUUCAUAUCAAUACUUCUUCAUACUUUAAGAGAUCAUGGAUAACUUAGACUGAAAAAAGAACCUUUCUAAUAAAUGAACUUAAAAGGAUCAGACACAAUACAGAGAUGAGAAAUAAGCUGGUGGCACAACACUGUAAAUCAACUAUACUUUAAUAAAAAGAAAUAACAACAGCAAGUAAGCUGGUAUCACUCACCAAAGAAAAGUGAAAAACAUCUCUGACACUUCUAUUAGAAAUGAAGGAUAUUCUGGAGUUCCCGUCGUGGCGCAGUGGUUAACGAAUCCGACUAGGAACCAUGAGGUUGCGGGUUCGGUCCCUGCCCUUGCUCAGUGGGUUAACGAUCCGGCGUUGCCGUGAGCUGUGGUGUAGGUUGCAGACGUGGCUCGGAUCCCGCGUUGCUGUGGCUCUGGCAUAGGCCGGUGGCUACAGCUCCUAUUCGACCCCUAGCC